CCUCCUUCAUAUCCACGAAAUUCCUCUUCAUUUUACCCUCAUUUGACCAGCCAAUACUCCAGGGAAUUACUCUCAACCUUCAUCUCAUUUUCAAGCACAAGAACUUCCUUCCAAAGCCAUUAAAACCAUGAACUAAAGGGCUGUUGUCCCUUUGUGUUUCAGCCACCAUUUCACCCAUCUACACCUUCCUUUUGCUUGAUAUUUUUACCACCAAAUACCCCUGAAAGUUACUUGUUAUGAUACUCAAAAUUAUUGAUUCAAAACAGUGAGUAAACUACCCUUUUUCUUGCUCUUUUGCUGUGAAAUUUUCGUGACAGCAACAUAGCCAAAAGAGUGGCUGUUUUGGAGCAUCAAACCAACAACCAAAAGUUCAUCUUCAACCUUCCAUUCUUCAAUUAUUCACAUAAGGGAACCGCUAAGCAGAUUUGGAAAUCAACUUUUGGGGAUUAACGUGCUGACGUUAAUUACUUCUUUUGAAGGAUGUUUAUGUAUUUAUCUUUUGAACAAGUAACGAAUACGAUUAUGUAAACAUUUUGGAAACUUUAAUAUAUGGUGGUGUGUACUUUCCUUUC